rnacentral:misc_RNA from 1 species
UCUCCGUUGGUGAACCAGCGGAGGGAUCAUUACCGAGUUAUCAACUCCCAAACCCCUGUGAACAUACCCAACGUUGCUUCGGCGGGACCGCCCCGGCGCCCUCGGCGUCCCGGAACCAGGCGCCCGCCGGAGGACCCAAACUCUUGUUUAAACCAUAGUGGCAUAUUCUGAGUUUCACAAGAAAAAUGAAUCAAAACUUUCAACAACGGAUCUCUUGGCUCUG